rnacentral:lncRNA from 1 species
UCAUUUAAUAGUGUGUGUGUGUGUGUGUGUGUGUGUGUGAAAAUGCUUUACUUGAUCUCUUUUAUUCACUCGUGUGUUUCCAAAGAGGACCUCGAGCUGCUGCUUCACCGGGUCAGCGAUUUAAUUGAGUUCCGCAUCGAUGCCGUCCUGGAGGAGAUGAGCAGCCUUCCGCUCUGCCAGCUCCCGGGGGAAGAGCCGCUUGCCUGUGAAGAGUUUCUCCAAAUGACAAAGGACCUUUGUGUAAAUGGUGCUCAGAUACUGCACUUUAAAAGCUCCUUAGUGGAGGAAGCAGUCAAUGAGCUAAUAAAUAUGCUGGUGGAUGUGGAAGAAAAUGAAGAAGUAUCCAGUGAUUCAAAAAACAAAACUUCAGAAAAAAGGGAAGAAGGGGGUUCGAGUGCCUUGACAUCUUCUCCUAAUUCUGGGGCUGGCCCCUUGCCCUCCACGGGAACCACAAAGAGGAAGAAAGAGACUGAGAUGUUAGAGGAAGAAGCCUGCGAGUUGCUCUCUCAUUUCAACCAUCAGAACACGGAUGCUCUUCUGAGAGUUACAAGGAAUACACUAGAGGCCAUUCGCAAGCGCAUCCAUUCUUCCCACUCAGUUAACUUCCUGGACAGCAUCGGCGGAUGUAGGAUGAAGCAGAGCAAUCUCUCUAUUUUCCGGGCAAGCAUCACUUUGGCCAUUCCCAACAUUGCCAUGGUGCCUGCCCUGGAAGACAUACAGCAGACGUUGAACAAAGCUGUGGAAUGCAUCAUCAGUGUCCCCAAGGGGGUCAGACAGUGGAGCAGUGAGCCAGUGUCCAAGAAAAAGAUGCAUGAAAGAAAAAUGGCUGCUUUGCGGAAUAAUGAAGACAGUGAUUCUGAAAUGGGAGAAAAUGAACUUCAAGGUAAACAUUCUUUUAGUUCUUUAUAGAUAGUCAUUUCAAAUGGACAUUUAUUGAGCUUAAAUGUUUCCCCACUUCCCCUGUGGAAUUCUCAAAUCAAGUUAGAUUGGACUGCUAAUCUAUGAGCCAAUUUAAGUU